rnacentral:rRNA from 1 species
AACCGACAGUCAUCCGCUUGCAAAUAUAUGUUCGCCUUUAACCGGGUGGCUAUAUGAGUAAGCAAUUUACCUUGAGAAAACAGAGUGUUCCAGGCAGGUUUGUCCGGAAUGCAUUAGCAUGGAAUAAUAGAAUAUGACUGAAGUCGAUUUAUUGGUUUAAGGCUUUAGUAAUGAUUAAUAGGAACAGUCGGGGGCAUUGGUACUUGACAGUCAGAGGUGAAAUUCUAGGAUUUGUCAAAGACUAACAAAUGCGAAAGCAUUUGCCAAGGAUGUUUUCAUUAAUCAAGAACGAAAGUUAGGGGAUCAAAGACGAUCAGAUACCGUCCUAGUCUUAACUAUAAACUAUACCGACUCGGAUUCAGAUGAAUCAAAAAAGUUCAUUUGGGACCGUAGGAGAAAUCAAAGUUUUUUGGGGUUCUGGGGG